rnacentral:lncRNA from 1 species
AGCAGUACCGCUGAGGUCCUUUUGCCUGUGGUGGUAGCCUCGUUUUUUGUUUUUUUGUUUUUUUGUUUUUUUUUUUUUUGCUGUUUGCAGGUAAGUCUUGCAGCUGCUCGCUGUUUGGGUCUACACAGUCUUAAUGAGCUGUAAUACGUGAAGGUCUGCAGCUUCACUCACCAGGAGCAAUGAACAACUCCAGACGCGCCUCCUUAAGAGCUGCAAUACACCGCGAGGGUGUGCAGCCUCACUCCUGAACCAGUGAGACCACGAACCCACCAGAAGGGAAAAACUCUGAACACAUCUGAACAUGAGAAGGAACAAACUCCGGAUACGUUGCCUUUAAGAAGUGUAACACUCACCCCGAGGGUCUGUGGCUUCAUUCUUGAAGUCAGACCAAGAACUCACCAAUUUGGGACACAGCUUACCUCCCUUCCUCCUGAGUGUGGGGUGGCCUUAGUGAUUCACUGAUACUAGAACGUGUCAGAAGCGAAGGUGUGCAACUUCCAAGACUAGGUCGUAAAAGGCCUUGUGUCUUCCUCCUUGCUCUGUUCCUGGGUUCUUUUAAUCUGGAAAGCCAACUGCCAUGCCCUCAUAUAAGGGCACUUAAGCGGCCUUGGGGAGAAGACCACAUGGUGAAGAACUGAGACGUCUUGUCAACAGCCAGGUAGCUCUGGGCCAAUGACCAAACACAGAAGGGAUAUUACCAGCAGGUCAGCUCUUCAUCCUUUACAUCAUUAACCCCAGCUUUACCCUGGCUGUUGUGUGGAGAAUGAAGUGGAGAGAAGAGCAAGGAGGUACUGCCGUUAUCUAAGGGAGGAAUGAUGGCUUGCACAAGGGCGGUGGCAGCACAGAUGGAGCGGAUACUAGGGAAGACUGCUCAUCAUAGACCCUCAGAGACCAGGCUGAGGAAACUUCCAUCUCAGCAGGUGCUUCCACUAUGAUUAAGGCAGAGACAGGGACAUCGUGAAUUGCAAGUUGACUCUGAAAGAUUCUGUCCGGAAGUGACGUGUCAUUUACUCUCAUCUUCAUAACCAUGUCCCAAGGAGGUGAGGAAGUCCUAACAUGUUCUUGGAAGCAGAGGAGAAGGAAGAGCUGUUAUCACAAGGGUCACAAAUGUAUAUAUAGUAACAGAAGAGCCUAAAUAACUAACACACAGCCCAGGCACAUGGUGAAACCCUGUCUCUACAAAAAAUACAAAAAGUAGCCCGGUGUGGUGGCAUGCACCUGUUGUCCCAGCUACUCAGGAGACUGAGGUGGGAGGAUCGCUUGAGCCUGGGAGGCGGAGGCUGCAGUGAGCUGAGAUUGCACCACUGCACUCCAGCCUGAGUGACAGAGUGAGACCCUGUCUCAGAAAGAAAGAAAGGAACACAGACAACUGCCCACUGAGAAAGUACAGCGUGGACAGCAAGGGGGCCCUGGGCCAGCGCUUGAGGAACCCCACCAGCCUGGCAGUGGACCUGAGCUGGCGAAGGAGGCUGAAACGGGGCAACAGAGAGAAAGAGGCGAAACAUCUGGUGAGUUCAAUGAGAAACUUGACCAUCUGUGUCUAGUGUGAUUGUGGGUCAUGCAAGGUGAGGACUGGAACAACUAGGAUGUCACUGGCACCGCAGCAAGACUUACGUCAAUGGAGUGAUGGAGAGGAACCCAGAAUGGAAUGAGCAAGAACUGAGUGAGGGGAAGAGACGAAAAUGGGGAAUGUGGAAAAACCUUUCCAGAAGCUGGUCGUGAAGGGAAGGAAGGCAGUAACUGGAGAAGGUCUUGUGUUGGAGAGGGUUGGUUGGUUUGUUCUUUCAGUGGGAGAGACCUGAAAUGUUUAAAUGUUGAUGGGAAGGGUCUGGUUUGGAGGAAGCGGUUAAAUAUAGAAGAGAAGCGAGUCACCCAUAGUAUAAGGCUCCUGGAAGCUGGAGGCUGAAAGUUGACAGUGAAGAAUGCCAUGAGGUGGAAUGGGGAGGCCAUGGCAAGUGCCACAUCUUAGCAGGUGCGUAGUGAGAAAAGACACAGCCCCUGAGAGACAGGCUGAGACUCACUGGUCCCUGGGGCCACUUCCGCUCUGACUUCCAGUUCCAGUUCUGGUUCUUCUGCGUGUCCUUACAACAACCUCCUUUUUCCCGACGAUAUGUGUUCAUUCAACAAAUAUUUAUGGGCCACCUACUACAUGCUAAGCCCAGUCCUGACAGCUGCAGAGAGGGCAGUCAGCAAGACCGAUGCCCGUCCCUACCCUCAGAAUCUUUUCUUGCAUCCGACGAAGCUGAGUGACCAAUCCCUUUGGCAAUACAGAUGCCCUCCAUUUGGAUUGGUUUAUGAGAGAGCAACAAAUAGAGGCAACAGAUAUGAGGGUCAGAAGAUAGUGCACUUCCCAUAACAGGAAGGGGGCUCUUGGACACAGCUCCUCUUCUGGAAGGUCUUGGGGGCUUUGUUGCGGGGAGGUGUCCAGAUGUGUCUCUGGGGUAACUGGAUGCAGAGAUUCGCUCUCUGCUGUGAAGGUGCUGAGAUAGGCACGUGCCUGUGCUGAAUCCUAUACAAAGAAAGCGAAAGAAACCAACAAAUUGACCCCCCCCACACACACACAUAGAAGCAUCUCCACUGUUUGUUUGCUGUUGCUGUUCUUUUCUUUUUUGGUGUAGAAAUUGAGCACAUACACAAAGGAAUCUCCACUGCCCAUCACUCUAGCUGCUGCUGACCUCUCCUCCAAACACUCCUAUGUGCUCCAUGUGUCCCAUUUGACUACGAGUCACAUACUUUCUCUAACAUCUUAGUUUCAGCUACUCAAAACCAGCACUGAUUCUGGUCUUUUCUGUUAUGUGGGCCCAUACAUUUCUUUCUAUACUUCAGUUUAAAAUGAAUUUUUUUGGCCAGGCAUGGUGGCUCACACCUGUAAUCCCAGCACUUUGGGAGACCAAGGUGGGACGAUCACCAGAGGUCAGGAGUCCAAGACCAGCCUGGCCAACAUGGUGAAACUCUGUCUCUACUAAAAAUAAAAAAAUUAGCUGGGCGUGAGGGCAGACACCUGUAAUCCCAGCUACUCGGGAGGCUGAAGCAGGAGAAUCACUUGAACCCAGGAGGCAGAGGUUGCAGUGAGCCAAGAUCGCGCCACUGCACUCCAGCCUGGGCAACAAGAGCAAAACUUCUUCUCAAUAAAUAAAUAAAUAAAUAAAUAAAUAAAUAAAUAAUAAAAUAAAUAAAAUAGAAGUUUAAAUCUCUUGUAGUGAAAAGAAUCUUAUCUAAGAGACCCAGAGUCAAGUCCUGCCCCACCUUACCUGCCUGCCACCCUGGGCCAAGCACCCCAUCAAG